rnacentral:rRNA from 1 species
CCUACGGGAGGCUGCAGUGGGGAAUAUUGGACAAUGGGGGGAACCCUGAUCCAGCCAUGCCGCGUGUGUGAAGAAGGCCCUCGGGUUGUAAAGCACUUUCAGUGAGGAAGAACGCCUGGUGGUUAAUACCCAUCAGGAAAGACAUCACUCACAGAAGAAGCACCGGCUAACUCCGUGCCAGCAGCCGCGGUAAUACGGAGGGUGCGAGCGUUAAUCGGAAUUACUGGGCGUAAAGCGCGCGUAGGUGGCUUGAUAAGCCGGUUGUGAAAGCCCCGGGCUCAACCUGGGAACGGCAUCCGGAACUGUCAAGCUAGAGUGCAGGAGAGGAAGGUAGAAAUCCCGGUGUAGCGGUGAAAUGCGUAGAGAUCGGGAGGAAUACCAGUGGCGAAGGCGGCCUUCUGGACUGACACUGACACUGAGGUGCGAAAGCGUGGGUAGCAAACAGGAUUAGAUACCCUAGUAGUC